rnacentral:rRNA from 1 species
UCGCAGAUUAAAAAGGUACGCGAGUUGGGUUCAAUACGAUGAGAGUCAGUAUGGUUCCUAUCUUCUAGAUAGAAGAAUUAUUAAGUUUGGACGGAUCUUUAGUACGAAAGGACUUAGAUCUGCGUUCCUCUAGUGUACCAAUUGUUGAGUCUAUACUUGGCAUCGUUGGGUAGCCACGAACGUUAAGGAGAAGAGCUGAAGGCAUAUAAGCUACGAAACCAACCAAAGGAAAUAAUAUAAGGCAGGAGGUAGACUACCU